UCUGGGGGCGACAGUAACAACAGCACCCUGCACCUCUCUGGGGGCGACAGUAACAACAGCACCCUGCACCUCUCUGGGGGCGACAGUAACAACAGCACCCUGCACCCCCUGCUGCUUAUUAAGUUCUUCAUUAUCGUCUGCAGGAAUAUGGAAAACAUUGACCCAGAGAAGACCCAGGCUUUGUCUUCGAGACCAUUAAACUGUUAAACUUCUGCUUGACUCAGCUGAAGAAGCAGCCUGCGGAUCAGUCGUCCCUCCAGACAGUGAUUCAGUAUGGCCUAAUGCUGUUGGAGAGUCUCUUUGACCCUUAUAAUACAUGGAGGAGACGCCUGACAGGGGAGGAGGUGAGCAUGGUGGAGAGGAGCAAGUAUAAGUUCUCCCCUCUCCCCUUAACAGAGGAGCUGCCUGCUCUAUUCCAUGACAGCCUGCAGGACAGCCAGCAGAUCCCAGAGGACCUCGCUCUCCGAUUGGUCCAUCUCAAGG